rnacentral:lncRNA from 1 species
GUUACAUUUUGGUGUUGUGUCUCUGUUGUGUCAUAGUUCUCUUAUAUUUAAUACGUUUCCCUCAUUUUUAGUUUGUAGCCGGAUUUUUUUUUUUUUUUUUCUCUAUCAAUUAAAGAUUUUUUAACAGCGAUACAUGUAUACUACUGUUGCCUUUAUUCAACGCCAUUUCAGCAGUAUUGUCCAUAUAGGUGCAACCUUAAGUUUAGAU